GUAGAGAAAAACAAGCGUCUCAUCACAGCAGACCAGAGGGAGUAUCAGCAAGAACUCAAAAAGAACUAUAACAAGCUGAAAGAGAACCUCAGGCCAAUGAUUGAGCGGAAGAUCCCAGAACUCUACAAGCCCAUAUUCAGAGUUGAGAGUCAAAAGAGGGACUCCUUCCACAGAUCUAGUUUCAGGAAAUGUGAAACCCAGUUGUCACAG